GUUGGUGAACCAGCGGAGGGAUCAUUACAGAGUUUAUCUUAACUCCCACACCCCAUGUGAACAUACCAUACGUUGCCUCGGCAGGUCGCGUCGUACCCCGUAGACAUCUACCCUGUAGGGCCUACCCGGUGCGCGCGGUUCACCCUGCCGGCGGCCCAUUCCAACUCUGUUUUUCCAUUAGAAUUCUGAAUAUAUAACUAAAUAAGUUAAAACUUUCAACAACGGAUCUCUUGGUUCUG
rnacentral:misc_RNA from 1 species